GAGGGAAAGUUGAAAAGCACUUUGAAAAGAGAGUGCAAGAGAACGUGAAAUCGAUAUAAUGGAAGCGAAUGAAGUCGACGUAUCUAGUGCGUAUUCAGUUUUUUAUCGUCGAAAUUGCUGUGUUUGAUGUUCCGUUAAGGUCAUGAAUAUGGUAUUGUUUUGAUGAUAAGGAGUGCAUUUGCGUACGGAGUGCGAUGAAUCAGCUGAUGUUGUCGGUGGAGACGUCUUGUAGAGGGCAAUCCUAGAUUGUAACCUCAAGGCGUGGAAACCUGAUUAAUAUUGACUGAAUUUGAGAAUAUUGGCCUACGAUUGUUGUUUUGAUGAUUCUUUGGUUUUUUGUUGGACGCAUGCGUACGGCUUAAAGCUGAGGUUUGAUUGGGAUAAUGAUGACUAUAUUCAAUUCAUCGUUUAGUCGAUCACUUAUUCGACCCGUCUUGAAACACGGACCAAGGAGUUCAUAAUACACGCGAGUCAUUGAGUGUUUUUAAAGCUCAAAGACGCAAUGAAAGUGAAACUAUCAACAGUUGAAACGUGAUUAAUAGCAUAUUUGUGUUGUUAAGCAACGUUGCCCCAUUCCUGGAACUUGUUCUGGUGUGGAGGUUGAGCGUGUGCAAUGAGACCCGAAAGAUGGUGAACUAUGCCUGAACAGGACGAAGCCAGAGGAAACUCUGGUGGAAGUCCGAAGCGGUUCUGACGUGCAAAUCGAUCGUAUGAUUUUGGUAUAGGGGCGAAAGACUAAUCGAACUAUCUAGUAGCU
rnacentral:rRNA from 1 species